rnacentral:rRNA from 1 species
UACGGAGGGUGCAAGCGUUGUUCGGAAUUACUGGGCGUAAAGCGCGUGUAGGCGGUCGCUUAAGUCUGAUGUGAAAGCCCGGGGCUCACCUCCGGAAGAGCAUUGGAAACUGGGCGACUAGAGUGUCGGAGAGGAGAGUGGAAUUCCUGGUGUAGCGGUGAAAUGCGUAGAUAUCAGGAGGAACACCGGUGGCGAAAGCGGCUUCCUGGACCAGUACCGACGUUCAGGCACGAAAGCGUGGGGAGCAAACAGG